rnacentral:rRNA from 1 species
AGUGAACGCUGGCGGUAGGCCUAACACAUGCAAGUCGAACGGCAGCACAGUAAGAGCUUGCUCUUACGGGUGGUGAGUGGCGGACGGGUGAGGAAUACAUCGGAAUCUACUUUUUCGUGGGGGAUAACGUAGGGAAACUUACGCUAAUACCGCAUACGACCUACGGGUGAAAGCAGGGGAUCUUCGGACCUUGCGCGAUUGAAUGAGCCGAUGUCGGAUUAGCUAGUUGGCGGGGUAAAGGCCCACCAAGGCGACGAUCCGUAGCUGGUCUGAGAGGAUGAUCGGCCACACUGGAACUGAGCCACGGUCCAGACUCCUACGGGAGGCAGCAGUGGGGAAUAUUAGACAAUGGGCGCAAGCCUGAUCCAGCCAUACCGCGUGGGUGAAGGAGGCCUUCGGGUUGUAAAGCCCUUUUGUUGGGAAAGAAAAGCAGCAGGUUAAUACCCCGCUGUUCUGACGGUACCCAAAGAAUAAGCACCGGCUAACUUCGUG